rnacentral:rRNA from 1 species
UACGUAGGGAGCAAGCGUUGUCCGGAAUCAUUGGGCGUAAAGCGCGCGUAGGCGGCCUCAUAAGUCCGUUGUGAAAGUCAAAGGCUCAACCUUUGAAAGCCGAUGGAUACUGUGAGGCUAGAGUCCGGAAGAGGCGAGUGGAAUUCCUGGUGUAGCGGUGAAAUGCGCAGAUAUCAGGAAGAACACCCGUGGCGAAGGCGGCUCUCUGGUACGUGACUGACGCUGAGACGCGAAAGCGUGGGGAGCGAACAGG